UACGAAGGGGGCGAGCGUUGUUCGGAUUUACUGGGCGUAAAGGGCGCGCAGGCGGCGCAUUUUGUCAGGCGUGAAAGCCCCGGGCUUAACCUGGGAACUGCGUUUGAUACGGAUGGGCUAGAGUUCGGGAGAGGAGAGUGGAAUUCCCAGUGUAGAGGUGAAAUUCGUAGAUAUUGGGAAGAACACCGGUGACGAAGGCGGCUCUCUGGACCGAGACUGACGCUGAGGCGCGAAAGCGUGGGGAGCAAACAGG
rnacentral:rRNA from 1 species